AAACCAACAGGGAUUGCUCUAGUAACGGCGAGUGAAGCAGCAAUAGCUCAAAUUUGAAAUCUGGCGUCUUCGGCGUCCGAGUUGUAAUUUGUAGAGGAUGCUUCUGGGCAGCCACCGACCUAAGUUCCUUGGAACAGGACGUCAUAGAGGGUGAGAAUCCCGUAUGCGGUCGGAAAGGCACCCUACACGUAGCUCCUUCGACGAGUCGAGUUGUUUGGGAAUGCAGCUCUAAAUGGGAGGUAAAUUUCUUCUAAAGCUAAAUAUUGGCCAGAGACCGAUAGCGCACAAGUAGAGUGAUCGAAAGAUGAAAAGCACUUUGGAAAGAGAGUUAAAAAGCACGUGAAAUUGUUGAAAGGGAAGGGAUUGCAACCAGACUUGCUCGCGGUGUUCCGCCGGUCUUCUGACCGGUCUACUCGCCGCGUUGCAGGCCAGCAUCGUCUGGUGCCGCUGGAUAAGACUUGAGGAAUGUAGCUCCCUCGGGAGUGUUAUAGCCUCUUGUGAUGCAGCGAGCGCCGGGCGAGGUCCGCGCUUCGGCUAGGAUGCUGGCGUAAUGGUUGUAAUCCGC
rnacentral:rRNA from 1 species